GACGAACGCUGGCGGCGUGCCUAACACAUGCAAGUCGAACGGAGAUUUUAUUUAUGAAAUCUUAGUGGCGAACGGGUGAGUAACGCGUAGACAACCUGCCUUUUAGAUGGGGACAACACCGCGAAAGUGGUGCUAAUACCGAAUGUUGUAUUUUGGUCGCAUGAUUGAGAUACUAAAGAUGGCCUCUAUUUAUAAGCUAUCACUAAAAGAUGGGUCUGCGUCUGAUUAGCUAGUUGGUGAGGUAAUGGCUCACCAAGGCGACGAUCAGUAGCCGGUUUGAGAGGAAGAACGGCCACACUGGGACUGAGACACGGCCCAGACUCCUACGGGAGGCAGCAGUGGGGAAUCUGCCGCAAUGGACGAAAGUCUGACGGAGCAACGCCGCGUGAGUGAAGAAGGUUUUCGGAUCGUAAAACUCUGUUUUCAGGGACGAAUGUGCGAUGUGUAAAUAAUGCAUUGUAAUGACGGUACCUGAGUAGAAAGCCACGGCUAACUACGUGCCAGCCGCCGCGGUAA
rnacentral:rRNA from 1 species